GUCUGGAUUUCUGAAAUCAGUAGAAAGAUUUUUAAAAUAAGACAACUUGGCACGUGACUUUAAGGAAGAGGAUUAGAUUUCACAUCCUCAGCAGUGGAUAAAAAGUUUCCCAUUCUGGAGACAGGUAUAGCAGAUGGCUUCCUGAACUUGGAGUCAAGGGACCACUUACUAGCUGUGUGUCCUGAACUCAUCACUUGCCCUCUCUGGGCCUCUCUGGCCUCACCUAUAAAACGAGCUUCGAAGAGAUGAUCUCUAAAGUUCUUCUGGAUCUAAUAGUCGAAGACUGAAGCCCUGAUUCUCAUCUGAAGGAGCUCUAGGACUUAAGCCCACAGGUUUCCUGCGUCUCUGCCUGGCCCCCUUGGUGCAGGUGGCUGCGUGUGUGCGUGUGGGACCGAGGAGAGAGUGGAGCGGUGAGGUGGGGAAUAGCAGAAGAACAGAGUUCCCCUUGAUGGCCCCUGACCUGCUCUGUCACCAUGGCAGGCCUGUUCUCGCCCUUGUGGGGCUGGGCAAGGUGGCUGGGGCAGCAGAGCCUGACAUUUCAAAGAGCAGUGUCGCUUGUCCUUGGCACACCUGUCUUUGAGAUCUUGCUGCCACUGCUGGGACAUUCCUGACCAGGUGGAAUUC
ensembl:lncRNA